rnacentral:misc_RNA from 1 species
GAAGAAAUCUAUGCAUUUCAUUGAAUAUGACGAAUGUAAGUAUACGCUACACAAAAAAUUGCCACAUAAUUACAUUAAUUUGAACACUAAAACACAAAAUACAGAACAAUACCUAGAAUUAAAGACUUACAGUGAAAAUCAUCGAGGUACUGCCAGAAGGACCGUGGUAUUAACAAAUGAGCGUCUUCCACCAUCAUGACAUGACAGUGGCAUGUAAAGGAACUGCUCUGAUAAUAUUUGUCUCGUAAGACUACCAAUUUGCAGAACUCUGGUGCUAAUAAGGACCGAUAUGGACCGCAGGAAGCAAAACAAAAUUGCGAGGUGCACAAUGACAUGUGAAAGAAGCAUUGCAUUACACUGUUGGGGUAUCGGCUGAGCCGUACUCCCACACUUAAAAAGCAGAAAUUGACUUUACAUGGUGGCAUGGCAGGCUUCGGCUAGGAUUCUUGAAGAACUAGAUUUAAUUCCAGAGCAGAUUUUGCCACCAUUCCACCUUUCCUAAUAACUGCUGGAAGAUUUUGCUGGAUCUUUUGCAGCUGGACAAAGCAGCGCUUACAGCAUUCAAGCCUUUGCUCUGCAUGAAGAUCAACACCAACAGCUGGAGGAGCAGAAAUGGUUGAGCGUACUACCGGGCCAAAGACUGCUACAAGCUUCAGUAGCAUCUCCAAAGAGACACUUGUGUGCCUUUCCAUCUUGCUAUCUAGUAAGCCCACAAGUACAGGAAGUAAGCAUGAAAAUAGGUCUAAGGUAAGAAUCUCCAUUUUCUCCAUGAGUAUACUGAUUACAUCUGCUUGCACAGAAUGAUCGGGCAGUUUUCUUAGAGCAUUGAUAGAACCCUUAAUGUCAUUCCGUUGCCAAAAAUGUCGAACUACCUGUAAUUUUGUCAAGCGGGAUUUAAGGGUACUUAAGAUUACAUCAUGAGUUUGCAUCAAAUCUUCACUAAUAUCCCCAUGAUUAGAAGAAAUUGAGUCCCUGCCAGAAAUCUGAGGCUCCUCCUGUCAUUAUAAAAGGAGAAAACUGAGCGAGUUUGGUUGAACAAAGGUGAAGGCAGAAGCUCGUGUGAGGCUCCUCCUUAAAAUAAACUAAAAUUUUCAAAAAAGGGUUUUCCAAUAGGAAAUAUUAUUUUGGCAAUGAAAAAGUAAGCUUUGAUAAUUCCUUAGCCAACUAGAUUUUGCAUCCUGCAACAAUUAACCAGUGACUUUUCCAAUGCCAAUUCAUAGGUGAAGGAGAAGACAAGUUCAAGCCAUCAAGAAUUCAAAUUGCCAUUAUCAUGUCUAUAGCAGAUAUAGGACAAUUUUUAGUAACUUUCUAUUACUAAUCCAUGUUAGCAACUCCAGGUGAAAUUUAUAUCCAACUCGGCAACUCGAAAGUUUUACUCAUCAAAUUUAAGUUUAUAAAUUUUUGCACUUGUGAGCUUAUCAUAUUUCAACUGGGACUUGUAUAAAACCCAUCAGAGAUGCGACGGUUCAUUUAUGUUCAGACAAUAGAAAAUCUUCCCUUAAAGGGGACAAAAAUCAUACCAGUGCGGAAGGUGUUCUAACCAUUUCACGUACAAUGCAAGGAGUCAUGUCAGUUGCUAUGGAAGGUGAUCUAUCUGUUUCAGGUAUAACUCGAGGAUUCACAUUAGUUGCUGUGGUGGGUAUUCUAUCCAUUUCACGUAUAACACGAGGGGUCACAGCAGUUGGUAUAGCAGGUGUUCUACCCAUUUCAGGCAUAACACUCAGAGUCAUAUUAGUUGCCAUGGUCAGUCUGCUUUUGGCUUCAGGUAUAACAUGAGGGGGCAUAUUAGUUGCUGUGGGAGGUUUUCUACCAUUUUCAGGUAUAACAUGAGGGGUCAUAUUAGCUUCUGUGGGAGAUUUUCUAUCAGUUUGAGGUAUAACAACAGGGGUCAUAUUGGUUGCUGUGGGAAGCUUUCUAUCAGUUUCAGGUGUAGCACCAGAGUUGAUAUUAUUUGAUAUGGUGGGUGUCCUAUUUGUUUCAUGUGCAAUUUGAGAAGCCAUAUUUAUUGAUCGAUCUUCAUUGUUAAAAUUCUCUCGUCUUUCAAAUCUCUCAACCAGAGACCGUGUCCUGCCUGCUACCACAGCAACUCCAUUUACAAUUUUAACUGAGGGGAUCCCUCUAUUGGUAUUAAUGGAUUCAACACAAUUUUCCUGACUAGAGGGUGUCUUUGGGGAUAAAAAAUUUUCAAAUUUAUCCUCAACACUCUUGAUAGUAGAAUUCUUUUCCUCGCAGGAUUUCCGCAACCCAUCUUCUGAUACAUUCAGAGUUUGCAACUUCAGAUCCACUGCACUCUCUUUCUUACUUGUUGCGUUGCUAAAAGUUUCAGAUUCAAGAGCUACUGAUAGUUCAUCAACAUCAUUCUUGCUAUUUGAUGGCCUCCGUAUAUGAGCUGGCCUGAGCAACAUGCCAGGUUUUGUCCUUGAAAAGGUGACUGUUUCCCUUCCAGAAUUGAAAGACUUCUUUUCGAUGGGACUGUCCCGAGGUACAACAGUGGGCACAACAAAGGAUUUAUUAAGUGCUUCCCCACCAGCUUUUCCAUUCACUCCUGCUAUGGAACUUUUCUUCUCUGUUGGUGGAUUACCCAUCUCCUUGGAAUCCAACGGGAGGACCAUUUUUGGUGAACUCAAAGACCCAACUUUUUGUGAAGAAACAGGAUUUCCACCAGUAGCUUUACAUGAAAGAGAAUAAAUUAGCCACCGAAGAGACAACAGAACAGAGGAUAAAUUUGCAUCCUACAUAUGCAUUGGGUAUGCCCAUGUGUAACACACUAAGAUUCAAAUAUAACAACUUACAGUCUACAUAUAUAUUCUUUAUUUCUUUGAUCUCAUACUCAGGAGACGUAGAGCGUAAAUCUGAAGUCGAUCUUACUCCACUCAUUGCUUUAUCAGGAGAAUCACUUUUGGGGAUAUUAAACCUUUUCUCUGUGCAGUCGCUUUCUUCUGGUACAACACCAACUCCAUAUGGCUCAAUAAGCGCUAUAUCUGCUAUCCAAACUGCCACAGAAUUUUGAUAGUGCGAACAACCCAAAACUUUCCCUUCAUUAAUGCAGAGGUCACCAAGUGUAGACCACCCAAUACCAACGGCAUCAUGAAAAAUUAAAGGCUCCCAAGAAUAAACCUUCAAAGAAUCAUCUAAACCACAAAAAAGUGUCCUCCCAUCAGGAUGAAAGGUAAUUGUGCGUACUCCAGUGGCCUGGAAAGAGGAAAGGUAAGCUUUUUAGACAAUGAAACUCAACAAAGGACUAAUUUAUUUACAAUGUUAGGAAAUAGAUGCUGAAAAUAUUAGACAAAAGCCACAGAACCUUUUGUUGAUGGGAAAAAAGAAGAAGCCUACAAGUUCUUUAGAAUAAACAAGCACCAAACUGUCACACUAGAUUGGAAAAUGGGAAAAUUUUGGUACCCAUGAACAAUUGGAAAAUUUGACCACAUUAUAUGAUGCUUAUGCUUCUUGAGAGGCAAAAACACAAAUAUUAUUAUACAAAUUAUUAAAAUCAUGAAAUAAUAUUCGGGAAAAGAACAAUUGUAAAAAUAAGUUGCAUCCUAGAGUUUACAGAAUCAAAUGAUUUUUCCUAUUUCAGGAAAGAAAUAAUCAUUGUGACUGAAACCUAAGCACUUCACAGCCCAAACUAAACCCUGCUGCUUGUCAAUACUUAAUUUAAGUAUGUCAGAUACCUCAGGUCUGGUAGAUCCAAUCAAUUCAAAAGUUUCCAAGUCCCAAAAUUUCACAGUUCUGUCUGCUGAACCUGUGGCCAGGAGAAAUUCAAGGGGAUGAAAAUCUAUGGAUCUAAUAUGUCCCUCAUGAAACUUAAAAUCAUGUAAAAGCUUUCCAGCAGUAAGGUCCCACACCUUUACAACAUUAUCAAAUCCACCAGAAACUACCCAGCGACCAUCAGGAGUGAAUUUAAUAGUACUAAUGCCUCGAGUAUGACCCUUGUAUGUAUGAAUGCAUCCCUUCUUUCUGAUAUCCCAUAUCUUCAGAUUUGUGUCAGUUGAACCAGAUGCAAAGAACUCACCAAAUGGAUGAAAUUCAACAGCAGUGCAGUUUGAUCUGUGUCCAGGAAGAGUGCGAACCAUUUUUGCUUCUUCUAAAUCCCAAAGCUUUAUCACCCCAGUGGAAGCUCCAGCAAGAACCAAAACUUCUGCUGCGUCAAAAGCUACAGAUUCAACUGGGCUUGUAUGACCACACAAGGUCAUUAAAGAAGUUGGUUUUCCAAUUGCCCAAAGAUUGACUUUGUGAUCAUCACCGCCUGUGAUAAAAUGUCUACACGCCUUUUUCCCAAUUUUUAGGCAGUUUACAUUGGUUGAAUGAGCCACAAAUUCUUGCAGCUUAUAUCCACGUUUCGCCAUUUCUUCCACGAUACAGAGAGACCCAGAAAACCAAUUCGCUCCGAGAGAAAUUAGAUCAGAAAGUAGCUUGAAAUUCGCAGUUCACGCAACAACCUGGAGGAGUUUUUUUUUUUUUUUUUUGCUUGGGCUCUAUUUACUUUGGCA